UUCGAUAGGUGGCGCUCGGUAAACGGAUAGUCGCAGAUCAGUAUGAAAUACAUUUGCUCAAUUUUCGUUUAAAUAAUAUCUUAUCUCCUCGAAUUAGUCUAAGAAGUGUUUAUAUAAUUUACAAAGAUGUUGUUAUCAUUUUGAGGUCUCAAUUUUAUAGUGGAAAAUAAUUUAGUAAAUUCGAAUUUGCGACUUAUCGGAUUUGAAAUUCAAUUGUAUUGGCGGACAAAAUAACGACAGGUUGACAGACAAAGUUGUAUAUUCCAAACAAAAGAAAAAGAUUGUGAAAAUUAUGAUAAUUCAACAUCUGUCAAAAGUUCAGGAGGAAGAUGAAAAUAUUAAGAGGAAAAGAAAAAUGAAAACCUACCAAGAUUUUGUGACAGGUAUAUUUCAAAAUAUUAUAGAAAAUACAGUGAUCUUAUUACCCUUGAUUUUAUAAUGAAAUUCACGAAGCCAUUUAUAUCAAAAUCAAUAGAUAUAUACAGUAGGUACACGAAACUAUAUGGUUUAAACUAAAUUAAAAAUAAUAAGUGUCUUUUUUAAGUAGUUGGAGAGUUUUAUUAGAAUUUCGUUUAAUUAUAAUACAAUGUAUGUAAAAAUGAUUUAUUUCUUGCACUUGUAAUUGAUUAUUUUAUUUUUUUAAUUUCAGAAAGUGUGAUGAGAUCUCAGAGACGGUAAUGAUACGCUUAAAGUAUGCCCCCAGAUCGACAUAGUGGAGGAGGACGAAAGAAGAAUACUAAUGAAGAUACAUGAACAUUGCUAUUUAUAGUUAUAACAAAAUAUUCAGAAUAUUGUUCCAUUUAACAUUCAGAUCUAGAUUCAGUUAUAAAAUACAAAGACAAAUAUACAAUCAGUGAGUUGGAUAGAUGAUUGGAAAAUCCCAAACUCAGGGUGAUCAGUUCAGU